rnacentral:rRNA from 1 species
CUGCCCAGUGACAUAGUUAAACGGCCGCGGUACCCUGACCGUGCGAAGGUAGCAUAAUCACUUGUUCUUUAAAUGGGGACUCGUAUCAACGGCAUCACGAGGGCUUUACUGUCUCCUUUCUCCAAUCAGUGAAACUGAUCUCCCCGUGAAGAAGCGGGGAUGACAAUAUAAGACGAGAAGACCCCAUGGAGCUUUAAACCCAACGACACCCCUCAACCCCCCAACCCAUUAUAGUUGCUACAGCCCUGUUCGUUGGUUUUAGGUUGGGGUGACCGCGGAGUAUAAAUUACCCUCCACGACGAAUGGGACUACCCCCUUACCCAAGAGCUACUCCUCUAAGGAUCAACAGAUUGACGUAAAAUGAUCCAAGCAUUUGAUCAACGGACCAAGUUACCCUGGGGAUAACAGCGCAAUCCAUUUCAAGAGCUCCUAUCGACAAAUGGGUUUACGACCUCGAUGUUGGAUCAGGGUACCCAAGUGGUGCAGCCGCUACUAAUGGUUUGUUUGUUCAACAAUUAAAACCCU